UGUCUUACUCAUCAACCUGUUUUGCUAUGACUUCAUUUGGCAACAGAACAAAAAUACAAUAGCUGCAAAUUUCACUAGAGCACUCUUUUCUUUCCUCUACUGUGCUUCUUGGCAGCUAGGUCUCUGUUUGACCAUGAAUUUGAAAUUCAAAUUCAAAUUCAAAGCUUAUUCCUAGAGCACAGGGAAACCAUUUGAAUUCAUCCCAUUUCUUACUCUUAUUGCCUCUUAUAUAGUUAUAUCCUCCAUCUCGGUUCAAAUUUGAAUCUCAAACAAUAAUUUUAGUUUUAUGUAUUUGAUAUUUGUUUGUUGUGAUUUAGGCCGAAUGCGUUUACAUUGGAUGUGUUAGAGGUACCCCAAGGUUCUGGAUUCGAGUGGGAUAAGAAGGGUCACAUUGUUACUAUUUAUCAUGCCAUUCUUGGGCGCUUCUGAUCUCAGUAUGCCGCUCUUAUUAUGCUGGCCUUGGCUACCCAUGAAAUUCAUUUGUCAAUUUUGAGAGAGGUUAUAAUAUCAUUAAUUAGAUGGUAUUUAUAGUGUCCAAUGUAUAUCAGAGCAGAAUAAGACUUGAACAAGUUUUUAUCGAGGAUACUCUGGUGCAACUUCCGGAUUCCUGUGGUCAUAAAACUCAAGUUAUUGCUGAUGGUGAACCCAGAAAUUGACCAAGUCAACAGAAGGGUUUGAAAAGAUUCUUUUUAAAGAUCUGAGAUCAAAGUUUUCACCCUGCCAGAAGAAUUUCUCUACAGAUGCUUUGGACAAACAUGUUGAAAAAUAACCUCCAAAGCAAUGCUGAUGACAGGCUCCUGCUGUCCUGUAGAUGAAAGAAGAAAUCAAGGUGCCGCCUACUUCCCAUGUUCUUGACUGGAUGCAUCGUGUACUGAUAGCUAUUGAUGCAUCAAGGCAGUUCAAGAGAUUCUGUAUUCUUUCCUUUUCAUAUCCAUGAUCUACAUUCGAGUUUGGGGAUAUGAAGUUGGACUAUCAUGAAAACCUGAGGAUUUUGUUGAAAUGGAUAUCAAAUUUGUUUGGACAACAAUGUAAGAUUGCUGAUGUUUUGGCAAUUUCCAAGAUUCCUUCUGCAAUCAAUCAAGUAAGCUUGCUACCAUUUUAUAGUGUAAAUUCCAUUCCAUUUACACCUUGAAAUGAAAUGAAAACUAUGUUUUGAUAUAAUCACAAACUAUGAAGAGCAAUACAUGAAUUAGUGGACAAAGUAGGCUGUUAAUGUUGAAAGAUGCUGCUACUAUUCUCCUCAAAUGAAGUAUACAGCUGCUGCCAAGACAAAAUCAUGACUAAUAUUUUUUGUUAGGAAAUGAUCUUCAUAAGAGAAGAUAAAGAGGUCUCUGUAACAAUCUGCAUCAAACCCACAUGCAAUGAUCUAUUUCGUGAAUGCCCUGGCAUAUGGUUUUUAAUUAUAUUGAACGCUCGGUAUAAUAUGCACAUCACACAUCUAAUUGUUAUUUGUUGUUUACUGUGUGACUUUAUAGUCUCUUUGUGUUUGUGUUUCUUUGUGUUUGUGUUGUAUUUUCCUCCAAAGUCUAUGUCUCACAAGCAAAAUUUCUUGAUACAUAUUUAUUUCAACAUCUUAAUUUGUCCAAGUUGAAGCCAUCUCACAUUGGAAUGCAGCUUGAUACAGAAGAUUUCAGCUUUGUGACAGAAAAAUAAGAAAUUGUUCUAUUUAAUCAAAAACUGCUGUAAAUUUUGAUAUAAAAUUUUAAUUAUUAUAUUAUAUUAUAGUUUAAAUUAAAACCUUUCAUUUGUUAUUAUUAUUAUAAUAAAGUUUAUUUAGAUGAGAUUUUUUUACAUUUAUUUAGAUAAAAAUUUUUACUUUAAAACAUAUCAAAAAUUCGGAACAUGUAA